rnacentral:rRNA from 1 species
AGCGUAGGCGGAUUUUUAAGUGAGAUGUGAAAUACCCGGGCUCAACUUGGGUGCUGCAUUUCAAACUGGAAGUCUAGAGUGCAGGAGAGGAGAAUGGAAUUCCUAGUGUAGCGGUGAAAUGCGUAGAGAUUAGGAAGAACACCAGUGGCGAAGGCGAUUCUCUGGACUGUAACUGACGCUGAGGCUCGAAAGCGUGGGGAGCAAACA